GGCCUAAAAGGCUUUUUUA
rnacentral:misc_RNA from 1 species